rnacentral:rRNA from 1 species
ACUCCUACGGGAGGCAGCAGUAGGGAAUCUUCCACAAUGGGCGAAAGCCUGAUGGAGCAACGCCGCGUGGGUGAAGAAGGUCUUCGGAUCGUAAAAACCCUGUUGUUAGAGAAGAAAGUGCGUGAGAGUAACUGUUCACGUUUCGACGGUAUCUAACCAGAAAGCCACGGCUAACUACGUGCCAGCAGCCGCGGUAAUACGUAGGUGGCAAGCGUUAUCCGGAUUUAUUGGGCGUAAAGGGAACGCAGGCGGUCUUUUAAGUCUGAUGUGAAAGCCUUCGGCUUAACCGGAGUAGUGCAUUGGAAACUGGGAGACUUGAGUGCAGAAGAGGAGAGUGGAACUCCAUGUGUAGCGGUGAAGUGCGUAGAUAUAUGGAAGAACACCAGUGGCGAAAGCGGCUCUCUGGUCUGUAACUGACGCUGAGGUUCGAAAGCGUGGGU